rnacentral:rRNA from 1 species
UACGUAGGGCGCAAGCGUUGUCCGGAAUUAUUGGGCGUAAAGGGCUCGUAGGCGGUCUGUCGCUGUCGGGAGUGAAAACUCAGGGCUUAACCCUGAGCCUGCUUCCGAUACGGGCAGACUAGAGGUAUGCAGGGGAGAACGGAAUUCCUGGUGUAGCGGUGGAAUGCGCAGAUAUCAGGAGGAACACCGGUGGCGAAGGCGGUUCUCUGGGCAUUACCUGACGCUGAGGAGCGAAAGUGUGGGGAGCGAACAGG